UGGGGAAUAUUGCGCAAUGGGGGAAACCCUGACGCAGCAACGCCGCGUGAAGGAUGACGGCCUUCGGGUUGUAAACUUCUGUCGCAGAGGAAGAAGAAAGUGACGGUACUCUGUGAGAAAGCCACGGCUAACUACGUGCCAGCAGCCGCGGUAAUACGUAGGUGGCGAGCGUUGUCCGGAUUUACUGGGUGUAAAGGGCGCGUAGGCGGAUUUGCAAGUCAGAUGUGAAAUACCGGGGCUUAACUCCGGAACUGCAUUUGAAACUGUAGACCUUGAGUGCCGGAGAGGAAAGCGGAAUUCCUA
rnacentral:rRNA from 1 species